AAGCUGCCUCCAUGCCUCUGAGAUCCUGGUGUGACCAAGCUCCUGGGAUCUGGGAUCCUGUGAUCAUGUGGACCUGGAUUAAUAAAAUCCCAUUCUGAUUGUGUUGGUUAAAGAAUUGUGACUUGGAUCAGCUGACCAUUCUUCAGUGACUGGUUCCUGAAUGCCGAACCUGAGAAUGGACUAGGGGUCCUGAGACUAGAGCAGGGGAUGAGGAGACACAGAAGACAGAAGGCAGAGAAGAGAAAGCUGAGGGAUGGAGGUCUUGCACAAACUUUGUGGAAUGCCAAGCAAGGUUACUAAGCAGAGCACCUUCUGUACUAUCUUAAAGGGGAUCAAUGGGUGAAGCUGGCAGAAACUAUCCUACAAUGAGACGAAGUGUGUGGGAGGCCAAUCAAGCGAUGCUAAACAAGGGGACACAUGCUGUCUCAAGAGCAUGACAAACUGAACAUGAACAUACAGCUAGCUGUCUCCCAGGCCCCUCAGGGAGGAAAGCCUGCACAAGGUCUCAGAACUUGGUUGGUUCCCUUUGUCUGAGAAAGUCUUGAUUGGUCCAGCUCUCAACAGAAUUGUAAACCGUGAUAUCAUCCUAGUUGCUCUUCAGCGACACAAAGGUAGAAAGCCAAGUUUCACUUUAUACAUUGUCUUGUUAACAUAGGGAGUCUUGACAUAUUUUUUCUCUUUACAGCUUGUUUUUAAAAUUUGAAAAAAAAUAUUGUAGAAAAUUC
rnacentral:lncRNA from 1 species